CUAACACUUGCAGUGCCGGCAUUAUGGGUGAUUUAUCGAGCAAGCCGGAAGACUUUGCCAGUUUUGUGUAUUUUCCGUCCAACAAUACCGGCACAAGGUUUUCAAAUUGAGAAGACUUUAAAGCUUAUUUUCUUGUGCCGGCAUUACGGGUUUCAUACUAAAUCAAUACCGGAAACAUGUAUCGGCGUAGUAUAUAAAGGAACUUCAAUGCCGACUUUGAAUGAAGUUUAAACAUAAAACUUAGUUUACUGAAACCGAAAUAUUAAACAUUUUUACACCAUAAUAUGAUUAAAGUUAAAAAAAGAAAAGAAAACGUAACUUUGUAUACACAGUCGAAACAUCUUUACUCUGUAGAAUUUGUUUUGCUAUAAAUAAAGUUAUUGUUCGUCAAGCUAAAUAUAAUCAGUCCUCAUAUUUCAGCUAGCCAUGGAAGAAGAGAUUUUUGAAGUUGGAGAGCACAAUAAUCGUGUGUAUUCCUGAUAAAAGAAAUUGGAGAAGCGUAUUAGGGACUGGACAUUGGAGAUGGAUACCCAUUUGAUGCAGCUAUUGUUCGUGACUGCAAAGUAGUUGUGAGUUGUCACAAUAUCGAAUGAAAAACGACGAACCCAACAGCUCAUGCUGAGGUGACUGCCAUUAGGAAGGUAAUUGUACAUACGCAGAAAUAAGUGGAUUUGGAAGUAAACACUCUAGGAGAUAAGAAUGUUUUCGAUUUUGCAAAAAAGUAUGCGAAACUAAAGAUGCUAGUUCACGUCUCAACAGGUGAUCGAGAUAGGUAAAGGUAGCAUAGAGUUUACAGAGUGGUUUGGUUGUGAUGAUCAAGACUAAUAUACUUGAUAAGUUUGUAAUGUGAUAUGAUAAUAAAACAUUGUCCCUGUUAGAACAUUGCUCGGUCGAAUUCA